rnacentral:rRNA from 1 species
AUGCUUGUCUCAAAGAUUAAGCCAUGCAUGUCUAAGUAUAAGCAAUCUAUACUGUGAAACUGCGAACGGCUCAUUAAAUCAGUUAUAGUUUAUUUGAUGGUACCUUACUACAUGGAUAACUGUGGUAAUUCUAGAGCUAAUACAUGCCUAAAAGCCCCUUCACGGGGUGUAUUUAUUAGAUAAAAGACCGUUGGGUUUCGGCCCUCUCGGUGAAUCAUGAUAACUGCUCGAAUCGCAUGGCCUUGCGCCGGCGAUGCUUCAUUCAAAUACCUGCCCUAUCAACUUUCGAUGGUAGGAUAGUGGCCUACCAUGGUUGCGACGGGUAACGGGGAAUUAGGGUUCGAUUCCGGAGAGAGAGCCUGAGAAACGGCUCUCAUGACUAAGGUCAGCAGCAGGCGCGCAAAUUAUCCACUCGCAACACGCGGAGAUAGUGACAAUAAAUAACAAUAGAGGGCUCUUUUGGGUCUUCUAAUUGGAAUGAGUACAAUCUAAAUCCCUUAACGAGGAUCAAUUGGAGGGCAAGUCUGGUGCCAGCAGCC